GGCCCUGUAGUUGAAUUUUACAACAUCAAACUGCAAAUUUGACCGUGUGCUUCCUGCACCUUGGCUU
rnacentral:tRNA from 1 species